UGCAGUCGAGCGGUAACAGAAAGUAGCUUGCUACUUUGCUGACGAGCGGCGGACGGGUGAGUAAUGCUUGGGAACAUGCCUUGAGGUGGGGGACAACAGUUGGAAACGACUGCUAAUACCGCAUAAUGUCUACGGACCAAAGGGGGCUUCGGCUCUCGCCUUUAGAUUGGCCCAAGUGGGAUUAGCUAGUUGGUGAGGUAAUGGCUCACCAAGGCAACGAUCCCUAGCUGGUUUGAGAGGAUGAUCAGCCACACUGGAACUGAGACACGGUCCAGACUCCUACGGGAGGCAGCAGUGGGGAAUAUUGCACAAUGGGGGAAACCCUGAUGCAGCCAUGCCGCGUGUGUGAAGAAGGCCUUCGGGUUGUAAAGCACUUUCAGUUGUGAGGAAAGGUUGACGUUUAAUACGCGUUAACUGUGACGUUAACAUCAGAAGAAGGACCGGCUAACUCCGUGCCAGCAGCCGCGGUAAUACGGAGGGUCCAAGCGUUAAUCGGAAUUACUGGGCGUAAAGCGCGCGUAGGCGGAUAAUUAAGUCAGAUGUGAAAUCCCUGGGCUCAACCUAGGAACUGCAUUUGAUACUGGUUAUCUAGAGUAUGGUAGAGGUGAGUGGAAUUUCAGGUGUAGCGGUGAAAUGCGUAGAGAUCUGAAGGAACAUCAGUGGCGAAGGCGACUCACUGGGCCAUUAUUGACGCUGAGGUACGAAAGCGUGGGGGAGCAAACAGGAUUAGAUACCCUGGUAGUCCACGCCGUAAACGAUGAUCACUCGUGUGGCAUACAUCGUCAGCGACUGGAGCGAAAGCAUUAAGUGAUCCACCUGGGGAGUACCGCUCGGCAAGGAUGCAGUCGAG
rnacentral:rRNA from 1 species